AACGAACGCUGGCGGCAGGCUUAACACAUGCAAGUCGAGCGCCCCGCAAGGGGAGCGGCAGACGGGUGAGUAACGCGUGGGAACGUACCUUUUGGUUCGGAACAACUCCGGGAAACUGGAGCUAAUACCGGAUAAGCCCUAACGGGGAAAGAUUUAUCGCCGAAAGAUCGGCCCGCGUCUGAUUAGCUAGUUGGUGAGGUAACGGCUCACCAAGGCGACGCUCAGUAGCUGGUCUGAGAGGAUGAUCAGCCACACUGGGACUGAGACACGGCCCAGACUCCUACGGGAGGCAGCAGUGGGGAAUAUUGGACAAUGGGCGCAAGCCUGAUCCAGCCAUGCCGCGUGAGUGAUGAAGGCCUUAGGGUUGUAAAGCUCUUUUGUCCGGGAAGAUAAUGACUGUACCGGAAGAAUAAGCCCCGGCUAACUUCGUG
rnacentral:rRNA from 1 species